rnacentral:tRNA from 1 species
GGAAGGAUGGCCGAGUGGCUUAAGGCAACGGUCUUGAAAACCGUAGAGUGUAACAGCUCCCAGAGUUCGAAUCUCUGUCCUUCCGCCA